rnacentral:rRNA from 1 species
AGUGAACGCUGGCGGUAGGCCUAACACAUGCAAGUCGAACGGCAGCACAGUAUGAGCUUGCUCUUACGGGUGGCGAGUGGCGGACGGGUGAGGAAUACAUCGGAAUCUACUUUUUCGUGGGGGAUAACGUAGGGAAACUUACGCUAAUACCGCAUACGACCUACGGGUGAAAGCAGGGGAUCUUCGGACCUUGCGCGAUUGAAUGAGCCGAUGUCGGAUUAGCUAGUUGGCGGGGUAAAGGCCCACCAAGGCGACGAUCCGUAGCUGGUCUGAGAGGAUGAUCAGCCACACUGGAACUGAGACACGGUCCAGACUCCUACGGGAGGCAGCAGUGGGGAAUAUUGGACAAUGGGCGCAAGCCUGAUCCAGCCAUACCGCGUGGGUGAAGAGGGCCUUCGGGUUGUAAAGCCCUUUUGUUGGGAAAGAAAAGCAGCAGGUUAAUACCCCGCUGUUCUGACGGUACCCAAAGAAUAAGCACCGGCUAACUUCGUG